rnacentral:rRNA from 1 species
GAUGAACGCUGGCGGCGUGCCUAAUACAUGCAAGUCGAGCGAACGGACGAGAAGCUUGCUUCUCUGAUGUUAGCGGCGGACGGGUGGGUAACACGUGGAUAACCUACCUAUAAGACUGGGAUAACUUCGGGAAACCGGAGCUAAUACAGGAUAAUAUUUUGAACCGCAUGGUUCAAAAGUGAAAGACGGUCUUGCUGUCACUUAUAGAUGGAUCCGCGCUGCAUUAGCUAGUUGGUAAGGUAACGGCUUACCAAGGCAACGAUGCAUAGCCGACCUGAGAGGGUGAUCGGCCACACUGGAACUGAGACACGGUCCAGACUCCUACGGGAGGCAGCAGUAGGGAAUCUUCCGCAAAGGGCGAAAGCCUGACGGAGCAACGCCGCGUGAGUGAUGAAGGUCUUCGGAUCGUAAAACUCUGUUAUUAGGGAAGAACAUAUGUGUAAGUAACUGUUCACAUCUUGACGUUACCUACUCAGAAAGCCACGGCUAACUACGUG